rnacentral:rRNA from 1 species
AUGGAGCUUGACACACACGCUCUCGCCUUCCUCCCGCUGGUGCUUGUUGCCUCGCUCGCGACGUUCCUCCAGCCUGCCGCUGCAAACGAUGGCACGCCACGUCCCGGCGGAGGCUUCAGCCUCCGCCUGGUCCCUUACGGCGGCUGGAACAGCACCAUGCACGUCGACGGCGGCGGCUUCCUGCACCUCAACGAGCAGGCAGCCACCACUGCGCUUCGGCCGCAUGUCCACGGGCCGAGAGGGCUGACAUACAGCGUGGCCACCACCGUCGGGACGGGCAGCGGCCGCCGCACCUACGACCUGGUGCUGGACACGGUCAGCAGCCUGACAUGGAUGCAGUGCAUGCCGAUUGCGCAUCCUUUCCCACAGAUUCCGCCGCCCUUCAACCCGGAGAUCUCGUCGUCGUUCAGACGCGUCUCGCGCAGGAGCGACCUGUGUCAUAAGCCAUACAGGGGCACCGAUUGCGAGUUCCGGGUGAACCGCCUCGACGGCGCACACGCGAGCGGUGUGCUCGGCAACGAGACCUUCGCCUUCGCGAACGAUGGUGGCGCGGCUGCGGCCGCGGAGGUUCGCGGCGUCGUGUUUGGCUGCGCGCACACCACCACGGGGUUCCUCAGCCAUGGAGUACUCGCCGGCGUCCUCGGCCUGGGGAAGCAGACACCGUCGCUCAUCUGGACUCGGCUCCACCAGCACGGGCAGGACGGCCGCUUCUCCUACUGCCUCUUCGGGCCCGGGCGUCCGGACAGGCACGGUUUCCUCCGUUUCGGCGCAGACGUCUCAGCCACGGGCCACAUGAAGAGCACCAAGAUCCUCUUCAUGCGCUUCACGACCGACCCGCACUUCAGCGGCUACUUCGUCAGCGUCUUGGGCGUCAGCGUCGCCGACAAGGCCCUGGUCCCGCCACCUGGACAACGCCAAAUGAGCAUAUUAUUACGGCGCCACAGGUCGCACGACGGUAGGUGGUACGGCGGGUGCCUCAUCGAUCCGGGGACGAGCACGACGGCGAUAACGCAGCCGGUGUACCACGUCCUGGAGCACGCCGUGGUGGAACACGUCACGAGACUCGGGCUGCCGCUCGUGAAGCGUGACGGGUACCGCCUUUGCUUCAGCGGUGCGACUCAGGCCGCCCUCGAGUACCUGCCGACGGUGACGCUGCGCUUCGAGGAGGGCGCCGAGCUCGUGAUCAGGCCGCAACAGCUCUUCGUCUUUGUUCAGCACGAUAUCUGCCUCACCGUGGUGCCGAGCAAGGACAUCACAAUCAUCGGGGCGAUGCAGCAGGUGGACACGCGCUUCGUCUAUGACAUUGCAGCCGGCAAGAUCCAAUUCGCCCCUGAGAAAUGA